rnacentral:rRNA from 1 species
AAUCAACGCUGGCGGCGUGCCUAACACAUGCAAGUCGAGCGAGAAAAGGGGGGCAACUCCCUGAGUACAGCGGCGCACGGGUGAGUAACACGUGGGUAAUCUGCCCUGGAGUGGGGAAUAACACCGGGAAACCGGUGCUAAUACCGCAUACGAUCACAGAAUCUGCGGAUUUUGUGAUGAAAGGAGCAAUUCGCUCCAGGAGGAGCCCGCGGCUGAUUAGCUAGUUGGUGAGGUAAUGGCUCACCAAGGCAACGAUCAGUAUCCGGUCUGAGAGGACGGUCGGACACACUGGAACUGAGACACGGUCCAGACUCCUACGGGAGGCAGCAGUGGGGAAUUUUUGGCAAUGGGGGAAACCCUGACCAAGCAACGCCGCGUGGGUGAUGAAGUCUCUUGGGACGUAAAACCCUUUCGACGGGGAAGAAAACCGCAAGGUUUGACGGUACCCGUAGAAGAAGCCCCGGCUAACUCCGUGCCAGCAGCCGCAGUAAUAC